GACGAACGCUGGCGGCGUGCUUAACACAUGCAAGUCGAACGGAAAGGCCCUGCGUUUGUGGGGUGCUCGAGUGGCGAACGGGUGAGUAACACGUGAGUAACCUGCCCUUGACUUUGGGAUAACUUCAGGAAACUGGGGCUAAUACCGGAUAGGAGCUCCUGCUGCAUGUUGGGGGUUGGAAAGUUUCGGCGGUUGGGGAUGGACUCGCGGCUUAUCAGCUUGUUGGUGGGGUAGUGGCUUACCAAGGCUUUGACGGGUAGCCGGCCUGAGAGGGUGACCGGCCACAUUGGGACUGAGGUAGGGACCAGACUCCUACGGGAGGCAGCAGUGGGGAAUAUUGCACAAUGGGGGGAAGCCUGAUGCAGCAACGCCGCGUGCGGGAUGACGGCCUUCGGGUUGUAAACCGCUUUCGCCUGUGACGAAGCGUGAGUGACGGUAAUGGGUAAAGAAGCACCGGCUAACUACGUG
rnacentral:rRNA from 1 species